AGCUGGUGAGGUCAGGUCUACCAGGUGACCAUCGGUAGCUGGUCUGACAGGAUGACCAGCCACACUGGAACUGAGACACAGUCCAGACUCCUACGGGAGGCAGCACUGGGGAAUAUUGGACAAUGGGGGCAACCCUGAUCCAGCAAUGCCGCGUGUGUGAAGAAGGCCUGAGGGUUGUAAAGCUAUUUCAGUGGGGAGGAGGAGUGAUUGGUUAAGAGAUGAUUACUUAGACGUUACCCACAUAAGAAACACCGGCUAACACCGUACCAUCAGCCGCGGUAUUACUGAGGGUGCAAGCGUUAAACGGAAUUACUGGGCGUAAAGGGUGCGUAGGUGGUUAUGUAACAUUAUGUGUGAUAUAUCAGGGAACAACCUGGGUGACGUCAUAUAAUACUGCGCAAUACGAGUGUGGCAGAUGGU
rnacentral:rRNA from 1 species